UAUGACUUUUAUGAAUUUUGAAAUAAAAAAUUUUUUGUAUGAUUAUUUUUCUCAUUUGACGGAAAUAGCCUUCCACAGAUGGUCACUUGGACCUCCAGAGAUGAUUUUUCUAUGAUGUGAGACAUUAAGGCUGCAAUAUAAAUAGGGCUUGAUUUUUAUUUUAAAACACAUGAAACGGCUAUGUUGUUGCUACAUCACUGACAGCGAUAUAAGACUGUUUCUGUGAUUGUCCGAGACUCAAGCUUCAGUGAGUCUCAGUGAUGUUGAGAAUGAAAGGCUCUUGUAAUGUCAGUCAUGAGAGGGACGUUUGCUCGUCUUCAGAGGUGUUUAUCCCUGAUUUAACAUGGACACACUGGAGUCAAAUGCAGACUACUGUAAGCUUGAACUUGCCUGUUUCUGAACAAAACUCAAUGAUAAUUCAACUGCAAACUUGAACCUGUGAAAAAAGAAAUUUACAACUGGAAAUGUUUCAGUGUAAGAUUGCGCUUGUUCUCUGUGUUUGUGAAUAUGUACUGUAUACUCUUUCUGCUGGGCAGCAUGUGCAAACACACCUGUGUGUGUGAUGGAGACUGAUUAAAGAAGGGAUUCAGCAGAAAAA